rnacentral:rRNA from 1 species
AACGAACGCUGGCGGCAUGCCUAACACAUGCAAGUCGAACGCCCUCUUCGGAGGGAGUGGCGCACGGGUGCGUAACGCGUGGGAACCUGCCCUUAGGUUCGGAAUAACUCAGAGAAAUUUGAGCUAAUACCGGAUAAUGUCUUCGGACCAAAGAUUUAUCGCCUUUGGAUGGGCCCGCGUUGGAUUAGCUAGUUGGUGGGGUAAAGGCCUACCAAGGCGACGAUCCAUAGCUGGUCUGAGAGGAUGAUCAGCCACACUGGGACUGAGACACGGCCCAGACUCCUACGGGAGGCAGCAGUGGGGAAUAUUGGACAAUGGGCGAAAGCCUGAUCCAGCAAUGCCGCGUGAGUGAUGAAGGCCUUAGGGUUGUAAAGCUCUUUACUGGGGAUGAUAAUGACAGUACCCAGAGAAUAAGCUCCGGCUAACUCCGUGCCAGCAGCCGCGGUAAU